rnacentral:misc_RNA from 1 species
UGGAACCUUGGAUCCUGAUGCUUGCCGCACUGUUCACAAGUAGAGCACGGAACAUAUGUCACAGUACUGCCAGUAUCCACAAUAAGAGCGAAUUCCUGGGGAGGUGUCCCAAUAAAUAGCCUCGUCGUAUAGUAACCGUUGGAGAGGAGAUCGUCGUAGAGGCGCAUGCGAGCGUUCGGAAGGUCCGAAUUUUGGAGUUGCCGCCUGUGGUAGUCGCUGUUGAAGGCUUUCCGAUGAGCAGAAACGUUUGGGGUUGAGAGCUGGAGGGGAAUUAUCAACGGGAACCGGUGAUAAUCGAAAUCGAGAGCUGAAGAAACGAAGCC